rnacentral:rRNA from 1 species
UAGUCAUAUGCUUGUCUCAAAGAUUAAGCCAUGCAUGUCUAAGUAUAAACUGCUUAUACGGCGAAACUGCGAAUGGCUCAUUAAAUCAGUUAGAGUUUAUUUGAUGGUACCUUACUACUCGGAUAACCGUAGUAAAGCUACAGCUAAUACGUGCGCAGAUCCCGACUCACGAAGGGACGUAUUUAUUAGAUUCAAGGCCGCCCGUGCUUGCACGCUCUUGGUGAAUCAUGGUAACUUCACGAAUCGCACGGCCUCGUGCCGGCGAUGUUUCAUUCAACUUUCUGCCCUAUCAACUUUCGACGGUAGGAUAGAGGCCUGCCGUGGUUGUAACGGGUGACGGAGAAUUAGGGUUCGAUUCCGGAGAGGGAGCCUGAGAAACGGCUACCACAUCCAAGGAAGGCAGCAGGCGCGCAAAUUACCCAAUCUCGAAACGAGGAGGUAGUGACAAUCAAUAUCAAUACUGGGCCUUCUGGUCCGGUAAUUGGAAUGAGUACAAUCUAAAUCCGUUAACGAGGAUCCAUUGGAGGGCAAGUCUGGUGCCAGCAGCCGCGGUAAUUCCAGCUCCAAUAGCGUAUAUUUAAGUUGUUGCAGUUAAAAAGCUCGUAGUUGGAUUUCGGGUGGGCUACGCCGGUCUCCUAACGGUUGUACUGGCGACGCCCGCCUUGCUGCCGGGGACGGGCUCCCGCCUUAAUUGUCGGGACCCGGAAUCGGCGACGUUACUUUGAGUAAAUUAGAGUGUUCAAAGCAAGCCUACGCUCUGAAUAUAAUAGCAUGGGAUAACACGACAGGACUCUGGCCUAUCGUGUUGGUCUGUAGGCCCAGAGUAAUGAUUAAGAGGGACAGUCGGGGGCAUUCGUAUUCCGUUGUCAGAGGUGAAAUUCUUGGAUUUACGGAAGCCGAACAUCUGCGAAAGCAUUUGCCAAGGAUGUUUUCAUUGAUCAAGAACGAAAGUUGGGGGCUCGAAGACGAUUAGAUCCCGUCGUAGUCUCAACCAUAAACGAUGCCGACUUAGGGAUUGGCGGAAGUUCUUUUGAUGACUCCGCCAGCACCUCAUGAGAAAUCAAAGUUUUUGGGUUCCGGGGGGAGUAUGGUCGCAAGGCUGAAACUUAAAGGAAUUGACGGAAGGGCACCACCAGGCGUAAACUUAAGCUGCACUUGCAGGCUCUGCGCCAGCCAAGGCGUGACGAAGGCUGUGUGUUUGGACAUCUGCUCUGGACAUCUGCUCUGGACAUUUGGACCAGAUGAAGCGGUCGCCCUGUCACAGUGAGACACCUUGGCUAGUCGUUGUGGACUCUCGCCUCGCAUACCACAAUGGCAACAUCAUCGAACUGCUGGAAUCCCCUAAAGCUCUGGGUACCAAGCGGCCGCCGCAAGGCGCCCGUGGCUCCGCUCAGGAGAGGUGACAACCCCAGAGAUGCACCAAUGGGCAAUCAGCAGCGAAGCCUCACCGCGGUGAGGAACGUUCAGAGACUAGGCGGUGAUGGGUCAGCGCGAGCUGGCUUAAGAUAUAGUCCAAUCCCCGGCGAGAGCCGACGGCAGGAGGAGGGGGUGCGACCCCAGAGCCUGCCGGUAGGGUUGACCAGAUUCUCUUUACAAGGGAGCCUGCGGCUUAAUUUGACUCAACACGGGAAAACUUACCAGGUCCAGACAAGGGAAGGAUUGACAGAUUGAAAGCUCUUUCUUGAUUCUUUGGGUGAACAUACACUACUGCCCAUGAUAGCGGGGCGAAAGCCCUCCUGCUAGUCGCGCCCUGCCCGCUCAUCGCGAGGGCAGGGCGCUGGCGAGACCGUCGAAUUGCGGGGACCUCCUAAAGCUUGUGACACCAAGGCGUGCAGGGUGACCGCGCGCUGGCCAGGGUAACACCCUCGGGUAUGGUAACAGCUCACAAGAUGUACCAAUGGACGAUCCGCAGCCAAGCUCCCCACCGGCGCACCGCCGAGGGAGAAGGUUCAGAGACUAAGUGGCGGUCGGUCUCUUCAAGGGGCUUAAGAUAUAGUCCACCACUGCCGAGAGGCAGCCACGAGACGAACGGCAUCAGCGGUGCUUGGAGUUCGUGGAGCAGGUGCAAGCCUGUGUGAGUGAGUGGGUGGUGCAUGGCCGUUCUUAGUUGGUGGGUUGCCUUGUCAGGUUGAUUCCGGUAACGAACGAGACCUCAGCCUGCUAAAUAGGCACGUCUGCUCCGGCAGUCGCCGGUCUUCUUAGAGGGACUGUUGGCGUUUAGCCAAUGGAAGUAUGAGGCAAUAACAGGUCUGUGAUGCCCUUAGAUGUUCUGGGCCGCACGCGCGCUACACUGAUACGUUCAACAAGUUCCUGUUCCGAAAGGCUCGGGAAAUCUUUGAAACCGUAUCGUGAUGGGGAUAGAACAUUGCAAUUAUUGUUCUUCAACGAGGAAUGCCUAGUAAGCGCGAGUCAUCAUCUCGCGUUGAUUACGUCCCUGCCCUUUGUACACACCGCCCGUCGCUCCUACCGAUUGAACGUGCUGGUGAAGAGUUAGGACUGGAUUGUUGGCUAGGUCUCCUGGUCGGCUGUUCGGGAAUUUCUUUAAACCCUCCCGUUUAGAGGAAGGAGAAGUCGUAACAAGGUUUCCGUUAAAGAAUUACAUUCACCAGCGGAUAAGAGGGCCAGUGAAAAGCUGCUUUGCCCUAGUGAGUGCCUCUGCACUUGCGACACUGUCAAAUUGCCGGGACCUCUCGCCAAGCCAAUGGUACCGCCUGGGCUCUGAAAGGAUCUCUGGCACCGCGGCGAAAGUCGUGGGUAUGGUAAGAAUUCAUUGGUUAGAGACGAUCGGCAGCCAAGCCCUAAGGGUCUUCUAGAUCUAUGGGUGCAGUUCACAGACUAAAUGGCAGUGGGUCUGGACCUGUGAUAACGGGACCAGUGCCUAAGAUAUAGUCGGCCCCUACCGAGAGGUAGUCUCUGGGAGGAAGGGCCUUGGUGCCUGGAGAGCCCAGAGGAGUGCAGGAUAGUAGAACGUGCUGCAAGGUACGCUCGGCCUCUGCCUGACUGCACGUGUGUGCAUGGCACUUGGCCUCUGCGCUGGAUGAAGUGAGGUGAACCUGCGGAAGGAUCAUUGAAACCAUCAUAUCCACUCGCGAACCACAACUCUGUACGCCUGCGACUGUGCGAAAGCACGCGCCCGUCGGGGAGGGGACAUCCUCGUCGGGGGGUAAGCUGGGGGCGACCCCUCUUGCCUUAGGCCAAUCCAUUUUUCUCACCGGACCAAACCAAUUGACUGAAGCUAGAAGCGCCUGGGGCCUCCCCAGCGUAUCUAAUUGAGACAACUCUCAACAACGGAUAUCUUGGCUCUCGCAACGAUGAAGAACGCAGCGAAAUGGGAUACGUAGUGUGAAUUGCAGAAUUCCGUGAAUCAUCGAAUCUUUGAACGCAUAUUGCGGUCACGCUUCGGUGUGACCAUGUCUGCCUCAGCGUCGGAGUAAACCCUCACAACCCCUACCCACGGGUGGGGCGCGUGGACCUGGCCUCCCGAGGCCGCCUCCCCUUGUGGGUGGCGCUCGGCUGGCUGAAAGCUAGAGGAACGUGCUCGGGCUUGUAUGGCACCGACCAGGCAGGUAGUCUUUCUACUCCUGUUGGCGCCUUGAGCCCGCGGUGCUUCCCGCAGGAAAACACUCUAUUUCUCGACCUGAGUUCAGGCAAGG